GUGGGUGUCGGCGGGGCAGUCCGGCGGGCAGUGGCGGUUCCGGUGCGGCACGGCGAGCGGACGGGCUGGCGGGACGAGCUGAGCGGGACCGAGCGGGAUGCGGAGCCGCCGCCGCCGCUCCCCGCGCCUCCUGAGAGUCUGAGACCCGCCGGGCCGCGCCCCCCGCCCAGGCCCGCAGUCCGAGCGUUCCGCGCGUUCCGAGCGCGGGCCGGGCCCAGCGCCGGCCCCGGCCGCGUCCCCGUCCAGUCCUGGGCGGCCCGCCCCCUGCCCGCGCCCCCUCUCUCUGCGCGGCGCCCAUGCGGACUGAGCCCCGCCCCCCGGCCCCGAGCCCGCCGAGCGCCGCCGCCGGAGCCCGCGCCGCCCGCCCGCACCAUGCUCAAGUGCAUCCCGCUGUGGCGCUGCAACCGGCACGUGGAGUCGGUGGACAAGCGGCACUGCUCGCUGCAGGCUGUGCCCGAGGAGAUCUACCGCUACAGCCGCAGCCUGGAGGAGCUGCUGCUCGACGCCAACCAGCUGCGCGAGCUGCCCAAGCCCUUUUUCCGGCUGCUGAACUUGCGUAAGCUGGGCCUGAGUGACAACGAGAUUCAGCGGUUGCCUCCCGAGGUGGCCAACUUCAUGCAGCUGGUGGAGCUGGACGUGUCCCGGAAUGAUAUCCCUGAGAUCCCGGAGAGCAUCAAGUUUUGCAAGGCUCUGGAGAUCGCGGACUUCAGUGGGAACCCUCUCUCCAGGCUCCCUGAUGGCUUCACUCAGCUGCGCAGCCUGGCUCAUCUGGCCCUGAAUGACGUGUCCCUGCAGGCACUGCCCGGGGAUGUGGGCAACCUUGCCAACCUGGUGACCCUGGAGCUCCGGGAGAAUCUGCUGAAGUCCCUGCCAGCGUCCCUGUCUUUUCUGGUCAAGCUGGAACAGCUGGAUCUGGGAGGCAACGACCUGGAAGUGCUGCCGGACACCCUGGGGGCUCUGCCCAACUUGCGGGAGCUGUGGCUGGACCGGAACCAGCUGUCAGCACUGCCUCCGGAGCUUGGGAACCUGCGGCGCCUGGUAUGCUUGGACGUGUCAGAAAACCGGCUGGAGGAGCUGCCGGCCGAGCUCGGUGGGCUAGUGCUGCUCACGGACCUGUUGCUGUCCCAGAACCUGCUGCGGCGACUGCCCGACGGCAUUGGUCAGCUGAAGCAGCUGUCCAUCCUAAAGGUAGACCAGAACCGGCUGUGCGAGGUGACCGAGGCCAUCGGGGACUGUGAGAACCUCUCUGAGCUGAUCCUCACGGAGAACCUGCUGAUGGCCCUGCCCCGCUCCUUGGGAAAGCUGACAAAACUGACCAACCUCAACGUGGACCGGAACCAGCUUGAGGCACUGCCGCCGGAGAUCGGGGGCUGCGUGGCGCUCAGCGUCCUCUCCUUGAGGGACAACCGCCUGGCCUUCCUGCCGCCAGAGCUGGCCCACACGUCCGAGCUGCACGUGCUGGACGUGGCAGGGAACCGGCUGCAGAGUCUGCCGUUCGCGCUCACCCACCUCAACCUCAAGGCUCUGUGGCUGGCAGAGAACCAGGCGCAGCCCAUGCUCCGGUUCCAGACGGAGGACGAUGCCCAGACUGGCGAGAAGGUGCUCACCUGCUACCUGCUGCCCCAGCAGCCCCCGCCUAACCUCGAGGAUGCUGGGCAGCAGGGGAGCCCCUCAGAGAGCUGGAGCGACGCCCCCCCCAGCCGCAUCAGCGUCAUCCAGUUCGUGGAGGCCCCUGCAGGGGACGAGGACGCCGAGGAGGCGGCAGCCGAGAAGCGGGGCCUCCAGCGCCGGGCCACGCCUCACCCCAGCGAGCUCAAGGUGAUGAAGAGGAGCAUCGAGGGGCGGCGGAGUGAGGCCUGCCCUUGCCAGCCAGACCCUGGAUCACCCUUGCCUGUGGAGGAGGAGAAGCGGCUGAGCGCUCAGUCUGGCAUGAGUGAAGACUCUCGCCCGUCUGCCAGCACCGUCUCUGAGGCCGAACCCGAGGGUCCAUCGGCCGAGGCACAGGGGCAGAGCCAGCAGGAAGCCAUGACUGCUGGUGGGGAGGCAGACACCGAGGACGGCUACGAGGAGCCCACAGUGCAUUUCGCGGAGGACGCGCUGCUGCCGGGGGACGACCAGGAGAGCGAGGAGGGGCAGCCCGAGGUCCCCUGGGCCUUGCCGGGCGGGAGACAGCGGCUCAUCCGCAAAGACACACCUCACUACAAAAAGCACUUCAAGAUCUCCAAGCUGCCCCAGCCUGAGGCUGUGGUGGCCCUGCUGCAGGGCAUGCAGCCCGACGGGGAGGGCCCUGCGGCUCCCGGGGGCUGGCACAACGGCCCCCAUGCACCCUGGGCUCCUCGGGCUCAGAAGGAGGAGGAGGAAGAGGCCAGGCCUCAGGAGGAGGAGGAGGAGGAGGAGGAGGAGGAAGACAGGGCUGAAGAGGGGACCAGCACUGAGGAGGAGGACAAGGAGGGGGCUGUGGUGUCUGCGCCCUCUGUCAAGGGGGUGUCGUUUGACCAGGCCAAUAACCUGCUGAUAGAGCCUGCUCGCAUUGAGGAGGAAGAGCUGACUCUCACCAUCCUGCGGCAGACUGGGGGCCUGGGCAUCAGCAUUGCGGGUGGCAAGGGUUCCACGCCCUACAAGGGGGAUGAUGAGGGCAUAUUCAUCUCCCGGGUGUCCGAGGAAGGCCCUGCAGCCCGGGCUGGAGUCCGCGUGGGUGACAAGCUCCUUGAGGUGAACGGCGUGGCUCUGCAAGGCGCCGAGCACCAUGAGGCCGUGGAGGCACUCCGGGGGGCUGGCACUGCGGUGCACAUGCGAGUGUGGCGUGAGCGCAUGGUGGAGCCCGAGAACGCAGUCACCAUCACGCCUCUGCGGCCAGAGGAUGACUACAGUCCCCGGGAGCGGCGGGGAGGGGGCCUGCGCUUGCCCCUGCUCCCGCCCGAGAGCCCGGGGCCCCUCCGGCAGCGACAUGUGGCCUGCCUGGCUCGAAGUGAAAGGGGGCUGGGCUUCAGCAUUGCUGGUGGGAAAGGCUCCACACCCUACCGGGCUGGUGAUGCGGGCAUCUUCAUCUCCCGAAUUGCCGAGGGCGGUGCUGCUCACCGCGCCGGCACGCUGCAGGUUGGCGACCGAGUCCUCUCUAUUAAUGGAGUGGACGUGACUGAGGCCAGGCAUGACCAUGCCGUCUCCCUGCUGACUACUGCCUCCCCCACCAUCGCCCUGCUGUUGGAGCGGGAGGCUGGGGGCCCUCUUCCUCCCAGCCCUCCACCGCAUUCCUCCUCACCCCUCACCGUUGCCGUGGCCACAACCAGCACCACCCCCGCCAGCAUAACCACUGCCACCCCCGGGGAUCCUGGGUUGCCGAGACUGGCCCCCAGCCUGCUAGCUACCACCUUGGAAGGGCCAUACCCAGUGGAGGAGAUCCGUCUGCCGAGAGCUGGGGGCCCUCUGGGGCUUAGCAUCGUUGGAGGCUCUGAUCACUCUAGCCACCCGUUUGGUGUCCAGGAGCCUGGUGUGUUCAUCUCCAAGGUGCUCCCGCGGGGCCUAGCGGCUCGCAGUGGCCUGCGGGUUGGGGACCGAAUCCUGGCAGUGAACGGGCAAGAUGUGCGGGAGGCCACGCACCAAGAAGCCGUCAGCGCCCUGCUCCGGCCCUGCCUGGAGCUGUGCCUGCUGGUGCGGAGGGACCCAGCUCCCCCAGGCCUGCGGGAGCUAUGCAUCCAGAAGGCGCCCGGGGAGAGGCUGGGCAUCAGCAUCCGAGGGGGUGCCAGGGGCCACGCUGGCAACCCCCGUGACCCCACAGACGAGGGCAUCUUUAUCUCCAAGGUGAGCCCCAUGGGGGCAGCUGGGCGUGAUGGCCGGCUACAUGUGGGUUUGCGGCUGUUGGAGGUGAACCAGCAGAGCCUUCUGGGCCUGACGCACAGCGAGGCGGUGCAGCUGCUACGCAGCGUGGGCGACACCCUCACCGUGCUGGUGUGUGACGGCUUCGAUGCCAGCACCACUGCAGCCCUGGAGGUGUCCCCAGGUGUCAUUGCCAACCCCUUUGCGGCAGGCAUCGGCCACCGGAACAGCCUGGAGAGCAUCUCUUCCAUCGACCCGGAGCUGAGUCCUGAGGGCCCAGGCAAGGAGAAGGAGCUGCCUGGACAGACCCUGCACUGGUCCGAGGCCACAGAAGCCGCAGGUCGGGGUCUGGAGCCCCUGAAGCUGGACUACCGUGCCCUGGCCGCCGUGCCCAGUGCUGGCAGCGUGCAGAGGGUACCGUCUGGAGCAGCUGGAGGGAAGAUGGCCGAAGGCCCCCGCUCCCCUAGUGGCCAGCAGACAAAACCAGGGGUGAUCCAGCCAUUGGCUCAGGCCUGGGGCUCCCCAGCCCCCAGGGGCAGAGGUGGUCCCCGCUCCCCACCCUCCCCUCCCUCCCCGGAUGAGCUGCCUGCCAACGUGAAGCAGGCCUACAGAGCCUUCGCAGCUGUGCCCACUCCACACCCUCCUGAGGACGCCCCUGCCCAGCCCCCGACGCCUGCGGCCUCCCCGGAGCAGCUGUCCUUCCGGGAACGGCAGAAGUACUUUGAGCUGGAGGUGCGCGUGCCCCAGGCUGAGGGCCCCCCUAAGCGCGUGUCCCUGGUGGGUGCUGAUGACCUGCGGAAGAUGCAGGAGGAAGAAGCCCGGAAACUGCAGCAGAAGCGAGCACAGAUGCGCGAGGUGGCGGAGGCCGGGGCCGGAGCGAGGCUGGCCCUGGAUGGAGAGGCCCUGGGCGAGGAGGAGCAGGAGGAUCAAGAGCCACCGUGGGCCGGCCCAAGCCCCACUGCAGGGCAGAGCCCAGUGUCCCCCCCACCCCCGGGAGGUGGCGCCCCUGUGCGGACAGCCAAAGCUGAGCGGCGCCACCAGGAACGGCUUCGAGUGCAGAGUCCGGAGCUGCCGGCACCUGAGCGCGCCCUGUCCCCUGCUGAGCGCCGGGCCCUGGAGGCCGAGAAGCGUGCGCUGUGGAGGGCGGCCAGGAUGAAGUCGCUAGAGCAGGACGCUCUCCGCGCACAGAUGGUCCUCAGCAGGUCCCAGGAGGGCCGGGGCACUCGGGGGCCCCUGGAGCGUCUGGCCGAGGCCCCUUCCCCCGCGCCCACCCCAUCACCCACCCCUGUGGAAGGUCCGUGGGUCUGGGAGGUUGGGGGGUCAGCCUGCCGCAUGGGCCGCUUCCAACACCUGCUUCUUGUCCCCCCAGACCUCGGCCCCCAGACCAGCACCUCCCCGGGACGCCUGGUGAGGAGCCGGUGGCUGUGCCCGCCCUUCACCCCCGAGACAUGGGGGGGUCUGGCCUGCCCCCACCCCUGUGGCCCUCACCCCUUUCCUCUCACUCUCUGCCUCUCCCCUCACGCUGUCCUUUCAAGCCCUUGUCUGGAAAGAAGUUUGACUACAGGGCCUUUGCAGCCCUGCCUUCUUCCAGGCCGGUCUAUGACAUCCAGGUACCCGGCCGCCAGGCCUCUGCAUGCCUGCCACCCCGCCUGCGCCUGCCACCGCCUCUGUCCGCUCCCGCAGGGCCUCCCCUCGCUCUGCCCACGCUCUGCCCUCACCCCGCCUCUCCAUCCCCUCCCUCCUUCAGCUGGGCUGUGUGGGCCUCAGGGCUGGGAGCCCACCUGUCCACGUGGGUGGUUUGGGGCAGGACUGGCGCCGGCCUGACCAACACUCUCCCCAUCACAGUCGCCGGACUUUGCUGAGGAGUUGAGAUCCCUGGAACCAUCUCCCAGCCCUGGCCCACAGGAGGAAGAUGGAGAAGUGGCCCUGGUGCUUCUGGGCCGGCCCUCACCCGGCGCUGUGGGCCCCGAAGAUGUGGCGCUGUGCAGCAGCCGCCGCCCCGUAAGGCCUGGGCGCCGUGGCCUGGGCCCUGUGCCCUCCUAGAGGAGCGGGUGCCUCCCCCAGACUUGGGGUGGGGGCCCUGCCAGCUCCAGCACCACCCUUGCCCUGAGUCUUUUAACCUGGGUUUUAGCAUUUUAAAGAGACCCCACAGGAGUUCCGGCCUCUGACUAACUGCCCCACCCCAGCCGAGACCUCGGCGAGACUGUAACUAGUGAUGUUUGUACAACCAAAGACUCUAUUUUGUGGUUUAAGGAGAAUAAAGUUGACUACAUUUUA